rnacentral:rRNA from 1 species
GACGAACGCUGGCGGCGUGCUUAACACAUGCAAGUCGAACGGAAAGGCCCUGCCUUUGUGGGGUGCUCGAGUGGCGAACGGGUGAGUAACACGUGAGUAACCUGCCCUUGACUUUGGGAUAACUUCAGGAAACUGGGGCUAAUACCGGAUAGGAGCUCCUGCUGCAUGGUGGGGGUUGGAAAGUUUCGGCGGUUGGGGAUGGACUCGCGGCUUAUCAGCUUGUUGGUGGGGUAGUGGCUUACCAAGGCUUUGACGGGUAGCCGGCCUGAGAGGGUGACCGGCCACAUUGGGACUGAGAUACGGCCCAGAGUCCUACGGGAGGCAGCAGUGGGGAAUAUUGCACAAUGGGCGGAAGCCUGAUGCAGCAGCGCCGCGUGCGGGAUGACGGCCUUCGGGUUGUAAACCGCUUUCGCCUGUGACGAAGCGUGAGUGACGGUAAUGGGUAAAGAAGCACCGGCUAACUACGUG